GAUGAAGAACGUAGCGAAAUGCGAUACUUGGUGUGAAUUGGAGAAUCCCGUGAACCAUCGAGUCUUUGAACGCAAGUUGCGCCCGAAGCCACUAGGCCGAGGGCACGCCUGCCUGGGCGUCACACGUCGUUGCCCCCCCAUCUACUCCUUCGGGAUUGCGGGGGGGCGGAUGAUGGCCUCCCGUGCGCCUAGCCGCGCGGUUGGCAUAAAUACCAAGUCCUCGGCGACGCACGCCACGACAAUCGGUGGUUGCGAAACCUCGGUUGCCCGUCGUGUGCGUUCGUCGCGCAUCGAGGGCUCGAAAAAAUGCUCGGCUUCGGCUCGGCUUUCAACGCGACCCCAGGUCAGGCGGGGUUACCCGCUGAAUUUAAGCAUAUCAAUAAGCGGAGGA
rnacentral:misc_RNA from 1 species